rnacentral:rRNA from 1 species
UCGGGAAUCUUCCACAAUGGGCGAAAGCCUGAUGGAGCGACGCCGCGUGAGGGAAGAAGGUCUUCGGAUCGUAAACCUCUGUCCUCAGGGUACGAUGAUGACGGUACCUGAGGAGGAAGCCACGGCUAACUACGUGCCAGCAGCCGCGGUAAUA